UGGCAGGUCAGCAUACUGCCGUGAAUACGUUCCCGGGCCUUGUACACACCGCCCGUCACACCAUGAGAGUUGGAAAUACCCGAAGCCUGUGAGCUAACAGUAAUGAGGCAGCAGUCGAAGGUAGAGCCAAUGAUUGGGUGAAGUCGUAACAAGGUAUC
rnacentral:rRNA from 1 species